rnacentral:rRNA from 1 species
AAGAGUUUGAUCAUGGCUCAGAUUGAACGCUGGCGGCAGGCCUAACACAUGCAAGUCGAACGGUAACAGGAAGCAGCUUGCUGCUUCGCUGACGAGUGGCGGACGGGUGAGUAAUGUCUGGGAAACUGCCUGAUGGAGGGGGAUAACUACUGGAAACGGUGGCUAAUACCGCAUAACGUCGCAAGACCAAAGAGGGGGACCUUCGGGCCUCUUGCCAUCAGAUGUGCCCAGAUGGGAUUAGCUAGUUGGUGAGGUAACGGCUCACCAAGGCGACGAUCCCUAGCUGGUCUGAGAGGAUGACCAGCCACACUGGAACUGAGACACGGUCCAGACUCCUACGGGAGGCAGCAGUGGGGAAUAUUGCACAAUGGGCGCAAGCCUGAUGCAGCCAUGCCGCGUGUAUGAAGAAGGCCUUCGGGUUGUAAAGUACUUUCAGCGGGGAGGAAGGUGUUGUGGUUAAUAACCGCAGCAAUUGACGUUACCCGCAGAAGAAGCACCGGCUAACUCCGUGCCAGCAGCCGCGGUAAUACGGAGGGUGCAAGCGUUAAUCGGAAUUACUGGGCGUAAAGCGCACGCAGGCGGUCUGUCAAGUCGGAUGUGAAAUCCCCGGGCUCAACCUGGGAACUGCAUUCGAAACUGG